rnacentral:rRNA from 1 species
GACGAACGCUGGCGGCGUGCUUAACACAUGCAAGUCGAACGGAAAGGCCUGCUUUCCCUUGUGGAUUGCGGGUACUCGAGUGGCGAACGGGUGAGUAACACGUGAGUGAUCUGCCCCCAACUUGGGUAUAAGCCUGGGAAACUGGGUCUAAUUCCCGAUAGGACUGCAGGGUGGUGCCUGUGGUGGAAAACGAUUUUCUAGUGGUUGGGGAUGAGCUCGUGGCCUAUCAGCUUGGUGGUGGGGUAAUGGCCUACCAAGGCGGCGACGGGUAGCCGGCCUGAGAGGGUGGACGGCCACAGUGGGACUGAGAUACGGCCCAGACUCCUACGGGAGGCAGCAGUGGGGAAUAUUGCACAAUGGGCGGAAGCCUGAUGCAGCGACGCCGCGUGGGGGAUGACGGCCUUCGGGUUGUAAACUCCUUUCGACCGCGAGGAAGCCACCUGGUUGGAAGGGUGGUGACGGUAGUGGUAGAAGAAGCACCGGCUAACUACGUG